ACGGGGAGCAGCAGGCGCGAAACCUUUACACUGCACGCCAGUGCGAUAAGGGGACCCCGAGUGCGAGGGCAUACAGUCCUCGCUUUUCGUGACCGUAAGAAGGUCUCAGAAUAAGAGCUGGGCAAGACCGGUGCCAGCCGCCGCGGUAAUACCGGCAGCUCGAGUGAUAGCCACUAUUAUUGGGCCUAAAGCGUCCGUAGCCGGCCGAACAGGUCCGUCGGGAAAUCCACCCGCUCAACGGGUGGACGUCCGGCGGAAACCAGUCGGCUUGGGGCCGGGAGACCAGAGAGGUACGUCCGGGGUAGGAGUGAAAUCCUGUAAUCCUGGACGGACCGCCGGUAGCGAAAGCGUCUCUGGAGAACGGACCCGACGGUGAGGGACGAAAGCUUGGGUCUCGAACCGGAUUAGAUACCCGGGUAGUCCAAGCUGUAAACGAUGCUCGCUAGGUGUGGCGUUGGCUAUGAGCCAGCGCUGUGCCGUAGGGAAGCCGAGAAGCGAGCCGCCUGGGAAGUACGUCCGCAAGGAUGAAACUUAAAGGAAUUGGCGGGGGAGCAC
rnacentral:rRNA from 1 species